ACCCACAUCCGCAGCAGGUCUCCAAGGUGAACAGCCUCUAGUCGAUGGACCAAUGUAGGUAAGGGAAGUCGGCAAAACGGAUCCGUAACCUUGGGAUAAGGAUUGGCUCUGAGGACUGAGCCGGUCGGGCUGGGGACCUGAAGCAGGAACGGCACUGCACCGGGACUGGGCGGGGCUCGCCGUUCACGCGGCGCGGCCAAGCCCGGACCAGCGUCGGGACCUUCCUGUGGAAAGCCUCAGCUGCGCGGCGUCUGAGGGCUUCGUGCCCAAAGUGCUAUGCUUCGGCCGGCAAAAAACAGUCAACUCAGAACUGGCACGGACCGGGGGAAUCCGACUGUCUAAUUAAAACAAAGCAUUGCGAUGGCCGCUGGUCGGUGUUGACGCAAUGUGAUUUCUGCCCAAGAUCCUUGCCAAGAGGUUGCAGGGUUGCGUCGAUCUUGAUGUGAGGCAGCGGGCCUUUGUCCCCGCAGAUGGGUGCGGCGAGAAUGUCGCAAUUCUGCAGGCCCUGCUCUCGGAGAGUCGGCGUACACUCAGUACACUUCACAU
rnacentral:ncRNA from 1 species